CCUACGGGCGGCUGCAGUGGGGAAUAUUGGACAAUGGGCGAAAGCCUGAUCCAGCCAUGCCGCGUGUGUGAAGAAGGCCUUCGGGUUGUAAAGCACUUUCAGUGGGGAAGAAAGCCUUGGGGCUAAUACCCUCGAGGAAGGACAUCACCCACAGAAGAAGCACCGACUAACUCCGUGCCAGCAGCCGCGGUAAUACGGAGGGUGCGAGCGUUAAUCGGAAUUACUGGGCGUAAAGCGCGCGUAGGCGGUCUGAUAAGCCGGUUGUGAAAGCCCCGGGCUCAACCUGGGAACGGCAUCCGGAACUGUCAGGCUAGAGUGCAGGAGAGGAAGGUAGAAUUCCCGGUGUAGCGGUGAAAUGCGUAGAGAUCGGGAGGAAUACCAGUGGCGAAGGCGGCCUUCUGGACUGACACUGACGCUGAGGUGCGAAAGCGUGGGUAGCAAACAGGAUUAGAUACCCCAGUAGUC
rnacentral:rRNA from 1 species